rnacentral:rRNA from 37 species
UGACGACCAUAGAGCAUUGGAACCACCUGAUCCCAUCCCGAACUCAGCAGUGAAACGAUGCAUCGCCGAUGGUAGUGUGGGGUUUCCCCAUGUGAGAGUAGGUCAUCGUCAAGAUU